AAAUGGGGGAGCUACCAUGCAAGUCGAGCGGUAACAAAACUUACCUUGUUCUUUGGUGACAAUGGGCGGACAGCGGAGUAAUGCUUGGUAACGUGCCUUUAAUUGGGGGACAGUGGUUGAAAACCACUGCUAAUACCGGAUAAUGUCGACUGACGCCAAGGGGCUUCGGCUCUCGACCUUCGAUUGGCCCGCGUGGGAAUAUCUCUAUGGGGAAGUAAUGGCUCACCGAGGCAAUGAUCCCUAACUGGUUUGAUACGAAGAUGGUCCACACUGGAGAUGAGACACGGUGCAAACUCCUACCGGACGCAACUCUGGGGAAUAUUGCCCAAUGGGAAUAUUGCUGAUGGAGCCAUGCCCCGUGUGUGACAAACGCCUUGGGUUUGUAAAGCCUUUUCAUUGUAAAGGAAUUGUUAUUAUUUAAUACCUGCUAGCUGUGACAUUACUGACUCAUGAAGCACCGGCUAACUCCGUGCCCGCCUACCUCCUAGUACGGAGGCUGCGAGCGUUAAUCGGAGUUACUGUUAGUCAAAAUUACUGGGGCGGUUUGUUAUGCGAUGAGGUAAAAGCCCCGGGAUCCACCUGACAACCACAUUUACAACUGACAAAGACUUUAGUGCUGGUAGAAGGGUAGAUAGAAGUUCAGGUGUAGAGGAUGAAAUGGUCGUAAGAUCUUCAGAAGGAAUCACAGAGGGAGAGAGGCUACCACCGGCGACAUACACAUCAAGCUUCAUGUAAGAAAGGCGGGCAGAAGCAAACAGGAUUUAGAUACCCUGAUAAUCACCGCCAUAGACGAUGUCUACUAGUAGAAGCUCGGGCUUCUGAGAUGUUGUUUCCUUCAAAGAUAACGCAUUAAGUCAGACCGCCUGCGGAGUACAGACCGCAAGUUGAAAACUCAAAUGAAUAGACAGACGCCCGCACAAGCGGGGGAGCAUGUGGUUUAAUCAGAUGCAACGAGUAAGAACUUUAGCAUACACUUGACAUACAGACAACUCUAGGACAGAUAGAUUAGUGCCUUCAGGAACUCUGAGACACAGGUGCGCGACAUGGCAGAUCAGUCAGCUCCUGGUCUGACAUCGGCGCUUAAGUCCAACAGAGAGCGCAAGUCCCAUCUCUUUAGCUGAUACCAGUGUAAUGCUGAGAACUAUAAGGAGACUGGCAACGGUCAUAAGACCGGAAUGAAGGUGAGACGAGACGUCAAGGUCCUGCAUGCACUAUACGUCUAGGGAUACACUUACGUGAUUACAAUGGCCCAUACAGAGUGAUGAGAACUUCGCGAAAGGUAAGAGAAUCAAAAAAAGUGUGUCGUAGUCCGGAUGAGAGUGUGCAACUCGACUCCAUGAAGUCGGAAUCGCUAGUAAUCGGGUAUCAGAAUGACGCGGUGAAUACGUUCCCGGGCCUUGCCACACCGCCCGUCACACCAUGGAGUGGGGCAUCCGAAAGUAGUAUAGUAUCACCUUAGGGAGGACGCUCCCAAGUAGGUCAUCG
rnacentral:rRNA from 1 species